rnacentral:rRNA from 1 species
GAUGAACGCUGGCGGCGUGCCUAAUACAUGCAAGUCGAGCGAACGGACGAGAAGCUUGCUUCUCUGAUGUUAGCGGCGGACGGGUGAGUAACACGUGGAUAACCUACCUAUAAGACUGGGAUAACUUCGGGAAACCGUAGCUAAUACCGGAUAAUAUUUUGAACCGCAUGGUUCAAAAGUGAAAGACGGUCUUGCUGUCACUUAUAGAUUGAUCCGCGCUGCAUUAGCUAGUUGGUAAGGUAACGGCUUACCAAGGCAACGAUGCAUAGCCGACCUGAGAGGGAGGUCGGCCACACUGGAACUGAGACACGGUCCAGACUCCUACGGGAGGCAGCAGUAGGGAAUCUUACGCAAUGGGCGAAAGCCUGACGGAGCAACGCCGCGUGAGUGAUGAAGGUCUUCGGAUCGUAAAACUCUGUUAUUAGGGAAGAACAUAUGUGUAAGUAACUGUGCACAUCUUGACGGUACCUAAUCAGAAAGCCACGGCUAACUACGUG